GGGAGUGUAAACCAAUAGGCCUAGAACUGUACAGGGGCAUAGAUCUGCUCUGGGAUAAAUGAGGAAGACAACUCCAAGCUGCCUUACCUCAUGACUUUGUGACAUCAUGGACCCCACUCCUGAGCCCAAGACCAGA
rnacentral:lncRNA from 1 species